AACGAACGCCGGCGGCAGGCUUAACACAUGCAAGUCGAACGCAUCCUUCGGGGUGAGUGGCAGACGGGUGAGUAACACGUGGGAACGUACCUUUCGGUUCGGGAUAACCCAGGGAAACUUGGGCUAAUACCGGAUACGUCCCGAGGGAGAAAGAUUUAUUGCCGAGAGAUCGGCCCGCGUCUGAUUAGCUAGUUGGUAGGGUAAUGGCCUACCAAGGCGACGAUCAGUAGCUGGUCUGAGAGGANGAUCAGCCACACUGGGACUGAGACACGGCCCAGACUCCUACGGGAGGCAGCAGUGGGGAAUAUUGGACAAUGGGCGCAAGCCUGAUCCAGCCAUGCCGCGUGAGUGAUGAAGGCCCUAGGGUUGUAAAGCUCUUUCGGCGGGAC
rnacentral:rRNA from 1 species